UACAGAGGUCUCAAGCGUUGUUCGGAUUCAUUGGGCGUAAAGGGUGCGUAGGCGGCGCGGUAAGUCGGGUGUGAAAUCUUGGAGCUUAACUCCGAAACUGCAUUCGAUACUGCCGUGCUUGAGGACUGGAGAGGAGACUGGAAUUUACGGUGUAGCGGUGAAAUGCGUAGAUAUCGUAAGGAAGACCAGUGGCGAAGGCGGGUCUCUGGACAGUUCCUGACGCUGAAGCACGAAGGCCCAGGGGGAGCAAAACGGGGAUUAGAAAACCCCCA
rnacentral:rRNA from 1 species